UACAGAGGUCCCAAGCGUUGUCCGGAUUCACUGGGCGUAAAGGGUGCGUAGGUGGUCGGGUAAGUCCGAUGUGAAAUCUCCAGGCUCAACCUGGAAAUGGCAUUGGAUACUAUUCGGCUUGAGGAGUGGAGGGGGGACUGGAAUUCUUGGUGUAGCAGUGAAAUGCGUAGAUAUCAAGAGGAACACCAGUGGCGAAGGCGAGUCCCUGGACAAUACCUGACACUGAGGCACGAAAGCCUAGGGAGCAAACAGG
rnacentral:rRNA from 1 species